rnacentral:rRNA from 1 species
AACGCGAAGAACCUUACCUGGGCUCGAAAUGUAGAGGAAUAUACCAGAGAUGGUAUAGCUCGAAAGGGUCUUUAUAUAGGUGCUGCAUGGCUGUCGUCAGCUCGUGCCGUGAGGUGUUUGGUUAAGUCCCGCAACGAGCGCAACCCUUGUCCUGUGUUGCCAUACCGAAAGGUGGAACUCGCAGGAGACCGCCAGGGAUAACCUGGAGGAAGGUGGGGAUGACGUCAAGUCCUCAUGGCCUUUAUGUCCAGGGCUACACACGUGCUACAAUGGACGGUACAAAGGGCUGCCAACCCGCGAGGGGGAGCCAAUCCCAAAAAACCGUUCUCAGUUCGGAUUGCAGGCUGCAACUCGCCUGCAUGAAGCUGGAAUCGCUAGUAAUGGCGGAUCAGAACGCCGCCGUGAAUACGUUCCCGGGCCUUGUACACACCGAGUAUA